rnacentral:lncRNA from 1 species
CUGGGAGGUAAAGGGUUCUGAGGAGAUUGUGGUGAGGCAGUGUCAGAGGAAGGUGACACGGAAGGGAAGUACUAACCCGAACGAAGGAACAAAGGGACGCUGUGCUUUCAUGGAUCGCUGGGUGCCCUGAGGUGCACCUGGAAUCUACUUGUUCAUUCCUCCAGGACAAGUAGAAAGGGACACUCAGGCACAACCCUGUGAAAACCUGAUGCCUGUUCCUGUGGCUUUCAUUAGC